UAUGCACUAUAAGGAAGCCCCACGUCCACUCAUAUUUGGAUGCCAUAUAUACCCCAUGCCCUACUCUUUUUGUGUGUAAGAAUCCAUGGGAAACUUCUUUCUCUCCGUGAGAUAUCUUGACGCAAAUAGAAAAAAGUUUGGGCAACAUUAUGAUGUCAAAGUCCUAGGAUCAUUGGACUUUUAUCUUCUACCUAAAACCAAACUCUCUUACUAUUUAAACGUGGGAUAAGAAAAGGGCGGUAACAACCUGAUGGUGAUCAGCUUUGGACGCAAAAAGGAUGAGGUGUGCGUAAAAAAAAAAGGAAGAAGAGGACACGGCAUGAGGCUUCAUGGCAUGAGUUUUGGUUGCAUCUAUCCUCUCUUUCUUACCAACAACCAAAGGUUGGUUGUUAGGAACUCUUCGCUCUCUUUUGUCCAAGUUUGGAUAUAGAUUUUUCUCUCCUCUUUUCUCUAAGAGUUGGACAUGAAUUUUCUAAAUCUCUAGCAUAGAGAUUUUGUCAAUGGAUUUUAGGAAGAAAGAAAAAAAUAUAUUCUUCUGAUGAUCUCUAGCAUAGAGAUCAUCAUCCUCUUAUUUUCUUUUUCUUCUCUAAAAGAGUCUUGAGAGAAAUGAAAAAUCUUUCAACUGUCAAGAUGCAAUUUCUGCAAAGAAGCUAGCACCCC
rnacentral:lncRNA from 1 species